AACAGGGGAGCGGAUUGGACUUACUUUUUUUCAAACAGUCAGUCUUUUUCUCUCUCCUAUU
rfam:Tribolium castaneum strain Georgia GA2 linkage group LG3, whole genome shotgun sequence.